AAAUUUACUGCAUAAUACCAGGAGACAUCGAUUCUUUAUAACAAAAUUCUUUGAAUUGAUUAAUUGAAUAAAAAAAUUGAAAGAUGUCCAAAUUUAUUAUUUUAAUGCUGGUGUCUAUGUUGGUCAUAAAUAUUUGGGCUCAAGAUUGUUCAGGAACUGGAGAAGAUUGUGAAGAAGAUGAGGAGUGUUGCAACAAGGAGUGCAAAGAGUUUGACGGGGAAAAGAGUUGCUUCCCAACAGAAGAAGAAAUGGAACAACUGAGGGAACACUUCCGUUAUAUGGGUUAAGCGACACCGUUAAAAAUUAUUUAGUUUUGUCUGAUGACAAUUCAUUAAAAACUAUACAAUGUGUAAUUAAUUGUUGAUAAUUCGUUUGAUGAUAAAAAAAAUAAUUACUUGUCAUUAGCCCGCAAAAAUAUUAUUUUUAUAUAUUUCCGGUAGCUAUCUAUCAAUUUUAUUCUACACAUGUAGCAAUCGCUGAAAUCUCGUAUGUUGGUAGCAUUCGCCUAUGGCUUGUGAUGCCAAUGCGUACUCGAUUUCAUAAUUUAAAUAUGCGGCCAAAAGAUUUUAUGUCAGA